GUUCCGUGCAACCAUAAGUUUCCAUGUCCAACUUGAAUCGUUCGUCUUAUUUAAAAAAAAAUUAUAAUUAAUAUUUUUAUUGUUAUGAGAUGAUAAAGCAUGAGUAAUACUUUACUUGUGACUUAUGUUUUUAAUUUUUUUUUAAAAUUUUUAAAUAAGAUGGACGGUUAAACUUUGGCGCGGAAAACCAUGGCUGCACUUAUA
rfam:Oryza sativa (indica cultivar-group) chromosome 11, whole genome shotgun sequence.